rnacentral:rRNA from 1 species
AACGAACGCUGGCGGCGCGCCUAAUACAUGCAAGUCGAGCGAGAAGGUGUAGCAAUACACUUGUAAAGCGGCGAACGGGUGAGGAAUGCAUGGGUAACCUACCCUCGAGUGGGGAAUAACUAGCCGAAAGGUUAGCUAAUACCGCAUACGUUUCCGGAACUUCGGUUUCGGAAAGAAAGCAAUACCGUGGGUAUUGCGCUCCUGGAUGGGCUCAUGUCCUAUCAGCUUGUUGGUGAGGUAACGGCUCACCAAGGCUUCGACGGGUAGCUGGUCCGAGAGGACGAUCAGCCACACUGGCACUGCGACACGGGCCAGACUCCUACGGGAGGCAGCAGUAAGGAAUAUUGCGCAAUGGACGAAAGUCUGACGCAGCGACGCCGCGUGGGGGAUGAAGGUCUUCGGAUUGUAAACCCUUCGGGAGGGAAGAUGGAGUGGGUAACCACUUGGACGGUACCUCCAGAAGCAGCCACGGCUAACUUCGUGCCAGCAG